rnacentral:rRNA from 1 species
GACGAACGCUGGCGGCGUGCUUAACACAUGCAAGUCGAACGGAAAGGCCUGCUUUCCCUUGUGGAUUGCGGGUACUCGAGUGGCGAACGGGUGAGUAACACGUGAGUGAUCUGCCCCCAACUUGGGUAUAAGCCUGGGAAACUGGGUCUAAUUCCCGAUAGGACUGCAGGGUGGUGCCUGUGGUGGAAAACGAUUUUCUAGUGGUUGGGGAUGAGCUCGCGGCCUAUCAGCUUGUUGGUGGGGUAAUGGCCUACCAAGGCGGCGACGGGUAGCCGGCCUGAGAGGGUGGACGGCCACAUUGGGACUGAGAUACGGCCCAGACUCCUACGGGAGGCAGAAGUGGGGAAUAUUGCACAAUGGGCGGAAGCCUGAUGCAGCGAAGCCGCGUGGGGGAUGACGGCCUUCGGGUUGUAAACUCCUUUCGACCGCGAGGAAGCCACCUGGUUGGAAGGGUGGUGACGGUAGUGGUAGAAGAAGCACCGGCUAACUACGUG